CGUGAGUAACCUGCCUUGGAGUGGGGAAUAACACAGUGAAAACUGUGCUAAUACCGCAUAAUGCAUUUGGGUCGCAUGAUUCUGAAUGCCAAAGAUUUAUCGCUCUGAGAUGGACUCGCGUCUGAUUAGCUAGUUGGCGGGGUAACGGCCCACCAAGGCGACGAUCAGUAGCCGGACUGAGAGGUUGACCGGCCACAUUGGGACUGAGACACGGCCCAG
rnacentral:rRNA from 1 species